CUUUCUCCUCUCCGAGUGAGUUUGACAAUCAUCCGUCUCCUGUAAAUUACAGUCUGGAUGUCUGCGCGGGAUUGCAGAGUAAUAUGAGUAUGCAUCAGUGAACUGACAGGACUUAUGAAAGUCAGCCAACUUCCCUCCAUAACAACCACUUCUUGCAACAAAAGUCCCGAGUGAGGACAAGCUUGUGUUAGAGGGAGAUUUCACGAAACAGGACCCCCACAGGAGGCCCUGAAGGGAUGUUUCAAUUAGAGACAUUGUGAUUUCCUCCACUGUGAGGUCCAUUGAUCAUUCCAGUGCAUCAGCCCUCCAAGAAGAGCAAGGAGAUAAAGAUUUGUUUCUUCUUUAAUAGGUGACAAAACUCACAGCGUGAUGGUUUUGCUUUCCGCCCUCUCCUCUCUGUGUCUCUGUCUUCACCCUCUCUUACUUUUAUACUCUCUUCCUUUCCUUUUCUCUCUCUGGGAAAAGAAGAGGAAUAAAGGAGAGUGAAGGAAGGGGCUUGGUACACAUGUCAGACAGGCUUUGCAGCCUCUCUCUCCUUUCAUCUCUCUGGUUUGAGGGCUUUGAUUAUGGAACAGUCUCUCAUAUUAUCAAGAGCUGGCUAGCUUUUCAAAUCAUGCGAGCCAACAUUAUGUGUGGAAAUGACACCCCAUUGGCGACAUUAAAAAAAAAAAAAAAAACUCCAAUGAAAUGUGUAGCCGACUUAUUACUCUAGACGAACUCAUGCAUAUUCCAAUCUGUUUCUUGAGCUAGCUAGCUAGAACUAAUUCCCGCUAACUUCGGUUUACAUUGUGAGCUGUGAGGUAUAUUACUCAUUCAUAGUGAUCUACUCUAAAUUUACUUUCAUAAUAUGCCACCAGCGUUAAUUUAUUGCCCUUUUCAUAUAUUAUGCUGUUAUACUCUGGAAAAAAAAAGCCACAUUUCUAGGCUAUAACUCUAUAAAUCAGUACAAUUUGGUUUCUCUUUUUUUGUUAUUUUCUUCAAGGCUACUGUCUUCAUCUCCCUACAGGCUUCAUAACAAUAUGAUUCGUGUGCCCCAGUCUAACACUCAGUCCCAUUGUGAUGUGACCUCUACAAUACAAUAUAGUUAACUUUGAAGAUCAAAUUACAUAUCCCUCUG
ensembl:lncRNA